GACAGAGGUGGCUAGCGUUGUUCGGAUUCAUUGGGUGUAAAGGGUGCGUAGGCGGUUUAGAAAGUCAGAUGUGAAAUCCCACAGCUCAACUGUGGAACUGCAUCUGAAACUUCUGAACUUGAGUGCGAGAGAGGUAAAGGGAAUUCCCGGUGUAAGGGUGAAAUCUGCAGAGAUCGGGAGGAACACCAGUAGCGAAGGCGCUUUACUGGCUCGUAACUGACGCUGAGUGCACGAAGGCAUGGGGAGCAAACGGG
rnacentral:rRNA from 1 species